rnacentral:pre_miRNA from 1 species
AGUGAAAUUGUUGGGUUAUAUGGUUAACUCUAUGUUUCACUUUUAGAGGAACUGGGAGACUGUUUUCCAAAGUGAUUGCAGCAAUUUAUAUCCCUACCAGCAAU